GCAGACAAUAGAGGCGCAGCUUAUUGGGUAAUCGCAGAUGCCAAGGAAGAUCACUUCCAAUGAUGUAGAUGAAGGAGUAAGUUGCCGAAAGCAAUGAUUCGUGAUUGAGUCUUUGCUUGGGACAGAGACGUACAGUUUCUGUACUGUCAUGAUAUCAUGGAGCACUAUUAGCAAA
rnacentral:ncRNA from 2 species